rnacentral:lncRNA from 1 species
CAGAAACUCGUUACUAAUUCAUUCCCAGAAUCAGCUUUUUAAAAUUCUCCUCCUCAGUGCUCGCAAGCUACAGAAUCAGACUUCUCAGGCUGUUGGUCCCCACUGGAAUGGCAACACGCAGGUAGCACAACAAACAAACCUUGGAAGGACACUGCAGAGGCUCUACACACAUCUGGGAAUAGCUCACAAUUCUAGGUUGCUUGGCUCUGAAUGUAGUGUGUCUAUGAUUCAAGAUCCUCAUGCCUUGACUUACCCUGAAGUGAUCGAUAGUAACCAGAUUCUGUAAGGUAACUAAAUCUUUUCUCCUCUAAGUCAUUUUUGCCAGUGAAUUUUGUCAUAGGUGCCUGAGGUGGCUGGUCAAGUGGCAGCUGUAGUCAGGAAGCAGCGAGAGAUGGACACGGGUGUUCAGCCCACUUUCUUCUUUUUACUCAGUCUGGGACCCCAGCCUAUCUGACACUGCUGCCCACACUCAGGGCAGGCCUUUCCACCUUAGCUAAUCUUGUCUAGAAAUUCCCUCACAGACAUGCUCAGAGGUUGGACUCCAUGGCAAUUCUUAAUCCCAUCAAGUUGUCAAGAUUAACCAUUGCACUGGGUAACAGGAAAAUUUCAAAUGUAUUGCAAUUAAGUGUGUGUGUGUGUGUGAGUGUGAGUGUGAAUGUGUGUGUGUGAGUGUGUGUGAGUGUGAGUGUGAAUGUGUGUGUGAGUGUGAAUGUGUGUGAGUGUGUGUGAGUGUGAAUGUGUGUGUGUGAGUGUGAAUGUGUGUGAGUGUGUGUGUGAAUGAGUGUGUGUGAGUGUGUGUGUGUGUGUGUGUGUGUGUGUGUGUGAAUCAUCAUGUGUAUGGGGGCCAGUAGAGGGGAUCAGAUGCCCUGAGGAUG